CUCUAGCCCCACUAUCGGAGGAGGAAGGAACGAGGCUGCGGGUUCGGAAAUAAAGGUAAAGAAGCGAAGAGGGAGGCCUCGGAAGUACGGCAUAAACGGGAACCCGUUUUCUCCGGCCUCGGCGCCGUCACGAUUUUCCAACUACUCAUUCGGGAGCUCUGUGAAGCGAAGAGGAAGGCCUCGUGGUUCAGGAAAACUGCAACUUUUGGCAUCCAUUGGUGGAGUUGUUGCAGACACUGCUGGGGGAGGCUUCACUCCUCAUGUCGUUACUGUGAAUACCGGCGAGGAUGUCGUGAACACAAUAUUAUCAUUUUCUCAGAAAGGUCCUCGAGCUGUUUGCGUCCUUUCUGCUACCGGU